UUUUCCUGUCUGGUGGCGGGUGCAGGUCCCUGUCCAGCAGCCGUCGGCUCACCAGGCCCCUUGGGCUCCACAGGCAGCAGAAGGGCUACCCCUGGGGAGGCCCAGGCCCAGGGCUUCCCCCGCCCCCUGAACUAUACCCAUGGCUGCCACUUCAGCUGAUCUGCGGUGACAUGCCCACCACCACCUCAGACCUCUACAGCUUCUGCAUCCUGACCCAGGAGGUCUUCACUGAGAAACUGUACAUCAAGUGGCUCACAGAGCCAAGACCACACCCAGGCCUGUGGCCCCUGUGAUGUCCCCAGGCCCCAUCCCAUGCCAGGCCUGAGACUCCUGAGGUCAGAGACCACAGCAGGAUCCCAAGGGGUGCAGCCUGGAGCUUGGGCAGCAGCUUGACUCUAGGCAGCAGCCCUGGGUCUGGCCACAGCCCCACAGCCAGGGUCAGCCUGCACUGCUGCCUGGAGCCCAGCUCAACAGUACAGAUACCCCCAGAGCCCUGCACAACUGUCCCACUGCUAACCUGUGACCCCCUCCGCCCGCCCUCCAGGAGUCACCAACCCCAAGUUCCCUGGCUGCCUCUCCUUUGACCAGGGAACUUUAGGGUCGCCCAACUGUCCCCUCACUCACCUAUGACCCUUAACCAACCCUGCUUCCCCCAGGGCCCUUCCCUGCACUCCAACUCCAGCCUCUAGGACUCAGCCUCCCUGCUGGGGACCCAGAGCUCUGCGGAACAGUUUGAGGAAGCUCUCAGCCAAGAUUCCAGCCCUGCAGGGGCUGCUGCAGCGCACACACAGGGUUAUUCUGCUGAAGCCCCAGCCCUGCACCCGGUACUGAGCUCACUAGAGGAGGUCUCUUCUCCAGCCUGCAGAAGAUGGACCUGCUGGAGGAGAUCAUAGCAGAGCUACAAAAAGGAUGUCAGCUUGGAGAAAAGCCCAGCCUGAGCCCCGCUCCUGACCUAGACUCCCAGGGUGCCCAUGGUUCCCUCUCUGCAGAUACCACCUCUCAGAGGCUCCCAGGAGUAACUCCUGCCUUGGUGCCUCCCCAAAAGGAAAUAGAAUGAUAAAGUGC